rnacentral:tRNA from 1 species
GAGCCUGUAGCUCAGUCUGGAUUAGAGCGACUGGCUUCGGACCAGUAGGUCGGGAGUUCGAAUCUCCCCGGGCUCA